CUGAUCUUGAGCGCCUGACCUCAAGCAGUCCUCCUGCCUCAGCCUCCCGAGUAGCUGAGAUCACAGGUGCAUGCCACUGCGCCCAGCUUGACAUUGAUUCUAUGAUAACAGCAGCCCGUGGAAUGGUGGAAGCAGCCAGACACACUUGGGAAUUACCUUGGCCUCUGGGACUCCCAACUCCCGAGAGAGUGGCAGACACCAGGAUAUGGCGGUGUUGCCCAGGGCUGAGCCUUGAGGUAAAGUAGGGAUCCCACUCCUCCCCCACACAGCAUGGGCAGCCUUGGGGCCUCAUGCAAGACGGGCCCGGCACCAGCCCCUACCGGGUUGCAAAAGCAGUGCAAAGGCCCAAAGAAAGGUGAGUAAUGGAGGGAGGGAGAGCCACGUGGGUCAGGGGGGCUCCAAGAUCCCUGGACUGCCAGUGCUGGGUGGAGCAGGGAGAUGCCUUCACCUACCCAAACCUCAAAUCACAUGGAUGGGAAGAUACAGGCCCAAGCUGUCCCAGUGCACAACCCUCGCAGCUCACACACUAUGUCAGCUUCCCUUCUCUCCCUCCCUUCCUUGUGCAGGGCAGGGCUACUUUAGGGCUGAGGCAGGGAGGCUCAGAGAGGUGCAGAGACUUGCCCCAGCCACAUGGCUGGCAGUGCGCCUCUGAUCAGCACUUCCUCUGUGCCAGGCUUCCACCUCCUUCAUCUUCUUUAAUCCUUGCAACAACCUUUCAAGGUGGGAGUGAUUUGUUUUUUGUUUUGUGUGUGUGUGUGUGUGU
rnacentral:lncRNA from 10 species